UGUGGGACGAAAUUAUUGACGGUACCACAUGAAUAAGGGGCUCCUAACUCUGUGCCAGCAGGAGCGGUAAUACAGAGGCCCCAAGCAUUAUCCGGAAUCACUGGGCGUAAAGGGUGUCAAGGCGGUCAUGUUAGUCGUUCGUAAAAUCCGUGGGCUCAACCUACGGCUCGCGAGCGAAACGGCAUGACUAGAGGUUGGGAGAGGUGCGUGGAACUCACGGUGUAGGGGUGAAAUCCGUUGAUAUCGU
rnacentral:rRNA from 1 species